CAUUAAUCUGCAAACUAAGAUCUGCAGAGUGAUGGCAAAAUAUAUUUGAGCGUCCAACAGAGUAGUCUGUAAAACGGCAUUUAUGGGAAGGAAAUGUCAAUACAUACGGAGGCAAGAGAUUUUGCAGUGACAUUUUGCUGGGGUGGACACACUUUGAUGUAGAAGCUUGCAAUGCGGAAAUUUACACAAUAAAGAUAGAAGAGUUAUUAACAAGGAGAUGCGUGACCUUCCUUGUGGGUCACUGGAGAAGCAGAGGGGGAGACAAUAGAAAGGCAUGCAGACUUGUUACCCAAGAAAAUCUGGGAGAGUGGAAGACACUUCCCAGAGAGUCACAGACGGCUGGAGCUUCCUCACGCUUAAGAGAGAGCCUGUGAUUGGAGGAGGAGGCCUCAGCGAAGAAAUACUGUGCGUGACAGAGUUUCCAGGUGUUGGUGAGUGAGACUGAAGAGUUUUGCACAUCUUUAGAAAGGAAGAGGGAAGUUGGCUGGGUAAUAUUUUCUAGACAGCGACACGGCUGUGAAGCUGAACUCACACGUCUCCAGAUUCCAUGGGGCGAUGCUCACACUUGAUUCUGGAACAUCGAAUGUUGGCAUUAGACCCAAGGGUUGCUCCAGAUCUCCUCUCAGAUAAAGAACUGCAGCGAUUCUCUCGAAGACUGGAAAUACCUUAGUGUUUUCUUCCCUGAUGGCUUUGCUCGGAGCGCUCUCAAACGAAGCCGACAGAGACCUGAGCUACGCGAUGAAUGGAGCAGCUUGUUGAAGAGGGGGAGUCUCUGCAAAACAAUGGCCAAGCCCUCUUGUCUGUCUCUGAUGCAAGGAGUGGAAAUCAGGUCGAUUUGGUUCUAGAAUGUGAUGUGAGCUCUCCCAGGCCCCCUCAGGAACUUAAAAUGCCUUAAUAUGAACACCAGAAACCUGAGAGGGGUCCAGAUGGGACGGUGCCGUUGGCCUCAUGGAACUCAGGUCUGUGUGGUGGUGACACACAACACAAGCUGGAGGCAAUGGUCACGAGAUGCUGCGGCCGGAAGGAGCCCAGUGGGAAGACGCUCCCGAUGCAGAAAGGAAGCCACACUCUUUUGAUCAGGAAGAUUUCCCAUGAUUUGAAAGAGUAAAGCCCCAGGAAACGCUCCCGACGCUGAGGCUGGGCUGAGCAUCCCCGGUUGGCAACUCACAUCGAUGUGCUGGGGAGGCGCUGUGACCUGAGGAUGCCCAGCUUCCCCUGUGGGACCCCCCCACCUCGCUGAUGUCUCUCUUCCUCUGCUUGAUUCAGAUUUUUAUUCCUCUGUUGUAAUAAAACUGUAAUCAUAAGUACGGU
rnacentral:lncRNA from 1 species